rnacentral:misc_RNA from 1 species
AAUAGUAAUGUUGGUUUUCUAUUGGGCUUGAAUAUAGUGUGGAAGAAGGAAUCCAUCAAACUAAAGCUCAGUGUAGAGAUAAUCUUUAAAUGGUUUGCAUAUUGUGAAUUCAUACUAACAAUAAAUGACAAUGGCAGAUAAUGCACAAAAAUGUAUCUUAAGUACUUCCAAUUCUGUUAAUUACAGUGUGCGUGCAGUUUGCGUCGUAAAAUAUUUCACAAGAACAAAUGGGUCAUCCGUGAUCCAAUCAAUAAUAGUUGUAGAUUGAUGU